UGUCUCUAAUUUAGAGUUAUAUUCAUGUUAAAUUUUGGUAACACAACAAAGCAGGUAUUUAUUUCAUUUUCUAAAAGUCUUCCAUGUCUAUAUAACCUAUUCUAUAUACAAAUGUACAUGUUUUAUCUUUCUAGUCUAAUAGUUUCAUUCAUAUUUCAACAGAUGACAAAACCCAGAAUUCUCCAAGUUUUGAUUUAUCUAGUUCUAAAUCUAAUAUCUAGUUGUAUUAGAUUUAGUAGCCCUCAUGUCACUUGUGGUGUACUGGCGCCUGUUAAGAGGAAACUUAAUUGAACCGAGGAUUUGAAAAGGAUCUGAACUCGAUACAUAAAAACUACGAUUCGCUUAAACGCCUGUUUGAUGAGGAAGUAAAGAGUAAAGACACUGAUCAAUAUUGUGUGACGAUUUCGGAUAUACUUUCAAACUAUAUAAACAAGACAAUUACAGACAGAUAUGACAGCAAUAUAAAUCCAGAAUAUAGUGCCUUUAAUCUUGAAGUGGUUAACUGUUUUGUUAACAAUGAAGAAGCUGAUCAGUUACACCUCAGA